rnacentral:rRNA from 1 species
UUGGCUCCUGCAACGAUGAAGAACGCAGCGAAAUGCGAUACGUAGUGUGAAUUGCAGAAUUCCGCGAAUCAUCGAGUCUUUGAACGCAAGUUGCGCCCGAGGCUUGCCCUCGGGCAUUUCUGUCAGAGCGUCAC